rnacentral:ribozyme from 1 species
AAAAAAAAAAAAAAAAAAAAAAACGCGACGGCGUCAUGAGAGACUUCGCUUUUGGCCAACACGCAACACACAUUGCAUUUUGUGGCUCUCUGUCUCUCUGUUUUUUUUUUUUAAAUUUCGUU